CACUGUCUCUGGCCAAGUCAUUGAGGUCAUAAGGCCUAUUAUUACCAUGCAACAAAACUAGCACCACAUUAAAAUAUGACCACUCUUGAGCUCACCUGUAUGUGGGAUCUAAAAAAGCCAAACUCAUGGAAGCAGAGAGUAAAAUGGUGGUAGGCAGAGGCGAAGAUGGGGAACCUGAGAGGUGAAAGAACUUACCCAGGGCCACAAAACUUGCCGCUGGCUGACCCGGGACUGGAACCCAAGGCUUUGUGUAAAUAUUUAUGGAUUUAGGUACCAAAGUGGAAAGCUCCCGAUGUCUAAAGAGCAGCUGGCACAAGAAUUGCUGCCUGCAGGCACUCCUGUCCCCCCAGCAUGUGUCCGUGGGCGGCUCUGGAGCUAGCCAGGC